rnacentral:rRNA from 1 species
CAGUACCGGAACGACCUUACCCGAAAAGGAAGGGUGCCCGUUCGGGGAAUUCCGAGACAGGUGCUGCAUGGCUGUCGUCAGCUCGUGCCGUGAGGUGUUGGGUUAAGUCCCGCAACGAGCGCAACCCUUAUUGCCAGUUGCUACCAGGUAAUGCUGGGCACUCUGGUGAGACUCGCCCCGGUUAACGGGGAGGAAGGUGGGGACGACGUCAAGUCAUCAUGGCCCUUACGCCUAGGGCUACACACGUACUACAAUGGCGCAUACAAAGGGCAGCGAUACCGCGAGGUGGAGCCAAUCCCAAAAAGUGCGUCCCAGUCCGGAUUGCAGUCUGCAACUCGACUGCAUGAAGUUGGAAUCGCUAGUAAUUCGAGAUCAGCAUGCUCGGGUGAAUGCGUUCCCGGGCCUU